GAAACGCUUGUUCAGCUCCCUGACGAUUGGAGAUCAUCAAUCCCCUGUCUGGGUGCCCACUAAGAGGCUGAAACUUCAUGUGAAUACUAACAAUGAAAACCACAGGGAAGAGACAUCUGCAUCAGAGACCGCCCUCAUACCUGGUGAGAUCUGUGCCGACUCCUCAGAAACUGGCAUGCCAAAUCAAGAGAGUCUGAUUCAAUCCUCCCUAAUGGCAACGGAGACCCCUCUAACUAAUCCCACUUCUCCUAAUUGCCUUUCUUUUUCUCCCUACGAACCUAAAAAUCUUACCAUUUCUAUUAGCUUAAAAAUAACAUCCCCUUGUUCUCUUCCUCCUUCAGCACUGGAUCUCACUUACAAUAGGUUUUAUUUAAUAAUUCUCCUCCUUAUACUUUCUGUCUCACCAGUUUGCCCUCAUACUGAUUUACCUGCUAAACAAAAUUAUUCUUAUUGGGCUUAUGUGCCUUUUCCUCCACUUAUUUGACCUCUCCCCUGGAUGGAUGCUCCUGCAGAAAUCUAUACUAACGAUAGUGUGUGGAUGCCUGGAGCUACAGAUGACUGUUUCCCCACUCAACCAGAAGAAAACACUGCAUUUAAUGUUACUAUGGGUUAUAAAUACCCUCCUCUGUGCCUUGGACAUGCACCUGGUUGGAUCCAUCUAGAAACUCAAGUCUGGGCUGCUUAUCUUCUGGAGAGAUUAGCUACAGGGGAACAGGGACAUUUGGUCUCUGGCC
rnacentral:lncRNA from 10 species